GACGAACGCUGGCGACGUGCUUAACACAUGCAAGUCGAACGGAAAGGCCCUGCUUUUGUGGGGUGCUCGAGUGGCGAACGGGUGAGUAACACGUGAGUAACCUGCCCUUGACUUUGGGAUAACUUCAGGAAACUGGGGCUAAUACCGGAUAGGAGCUCCUGCUGCAUGGUGGGGGUUGGAAAGUUUCGGCGGUUGGGGAUGGACUCGCGGCUUAUCAGCUUGUUGGUGGGGUAGUGGCUUACCAAGGCUUUGACGGGUAGCCGGCCUGAGAGGGUGACCGGCCACAUUGGGACUGAGAUACGGCCCAGACUCCUACGGGAGGCAGCAGUGGGGAAUAUUGCACAAUGGGCGGAAGCCUGAUGCAGCAACGCCGCGUGCGGGAUGACGGCCUUCGGGUUGUAAACCGCUUUCGCCUGUGACGAAGCGUGAGUGACGGUAAUGGGUAAAGAAGCACCGGCUAACUACGUGCCAGCAGCCGCGGUGAUACGUAGGGUGCGAGCGUUGUCCGGAUUUAUUGGGCGUAAAGGGCUCGUAGGUGGUUGAUCGCGUCGGAAGUGUAAUCUUGGGGCUUAACCCUGAGCGUGCUUUCGAUACGGGUUGACUUGAGGAAGGUAGGGGAGAAUGGAAUUCCUGGUGGAGCGGUGGAAUGCGCAGAUAUCAGGAGGAACACCAGUGGCGAAGGCGGUUCUCUGGGCCUUUCCUGACGCUGAGGAGCGAAAGCGUGGGGAGCGAACAGGCUUAGAUACCCUGGUAGUCCACGCUGUAAACGGUGGGUACUAGGUGUGGGGUCCAUUCCACGGGUUCCGUGCCGUAGCUAACGCUUUAAGUACCCCGCCUGGGGAGUACGGCCGCAAGGCUAAAACUCAAAGGAACUGACGGGGCCCCGCACAAGCGGCGGAGCAUGCGGAUUAAUUCGAUGCAACGCGUAGAACCUUACCUGGGUUUGACAUGGAUCGGGAGCGCUCAGAGAUGGGUGUGCCUCUUUUGGGGUCGGUUCACAGGUGGUGCAUGGCUGUCGUCAGCUCGUGUCGUGAGAUGUUGGGUUAAGUCCCGCAACGAGCGCAACCCUUGUUCACUGUUGCCAGCACGUUAUGGUGGGGACUCAGUGGAGACCGCCGGGGUCAACUCGGAGGAAGGUGGGGAUGACGUCAAGUCAUCACGCCCCUUAUGUCCAGGGCUUCACGCAUGCUACAAUGGCUGGUACAGAGAGUGGCGAGCCUGUGAGGGUGAGCGAAUCUCGGAAAGCCGGUCUCAGUUCGGAUUGGGGUCUGCAACUCGACCUCAUGAAGUCGGAGUCGCUAGUAAUCGCAGAUCAGCAACGCUGCGGUGAAUACGUUCCCGGG
rnacentral:rRNA from 1 species